rnacentral:rRNA from 1 species
GCCCAACAGCUAGCCCACCCAAACAAUUUCAACCACCCCCUGUUAAUAACCCCUAAGUACCCCCGUAUUUAAAUUAAACAAACCAUUUUUCCCCCCUAGUAUAGGCGAUAGAAAGGGAACUAAGGCGCAAUAGAGAAAGUACCGCAAGGGAACGCUGAAAGAGAGAUGAAAUAGCCCAGUAAAGCCUAAAAAAGCAGAGAUUUAAACUCGUACCUUUUGCAUCAUGAUUUAGCGAGUGUACCCCAAGCAAAGAGUACUUUAGUUUGACGUCCCGAAACUAGGUGAGCUACUCCAAGACAGCCUAUUAAUAGGGCAUACCCGUCUCUGUGGCAAAAGAGUGGGGCGAGCUUUGAGUAGAGGUGAUAAACCUACCGAACCUAGUUAUAGCUGGUUGUCCAAGAAAUGAAUAGAAGUUCAGCCCCUUGGCUUCUCUUUUCACCCUAGUUUAACCCCUAAUUGAUGUAUUAAAGAAACCAAGAGAGUUAGUCAAAGGGGGUACAGCCCCUUUGAACCAAGACACAACUUUAUCAGGAGGGU